UACAACGACGUUUGCAGUAAAAAAAAAACAAAAAACAAAAAUACGGAGUUCAACUUCGGAAUAAAAGUCGCGUGUUCACACGGUUAUUGUGGUCAUUGUGCGUUCUCUUAGCAGGAAUAUUUCCCGUAAAAUCGUGUGUCUGUGCUGAUCGGCUGAUCCGGAGCUGAGAUAUGCGGUGUACCAUGAUACUACUUCCUUCGUCCGAGUGCGUUGCUGUGGAGAAGUUAAAUAUUCAGUGACAAGACAAUUCUAGCCGUGACCAGUUCCCUUCCGCCACAGUAUCAUUGGUGUUUGGUGCUGUGCAAAUUGUUGGUUUUCGAUUCCGGCUCUCCCGUUUUUUCAAGCGCUAUCGAAAAGUUCCCACCAACGGCAAAGCAAGUUCAUCAAGAUCAAUAACGAAAAUGAAUAUGCGAUGCGCAAAACGGUAUAGGUGUAUACCGGAUGACCGAUCUGGAAACUGUCUGAACCAUCAGAUUCUAACACGAGCCAAACUACUUAAAAAGGAACCUCCCAAGCCGAUUGAGACAUACGUUGUUCAAGCAGCUCCGUUGGCGUUGAUAAUGUGCUCGUAGUUACAGGAGCGAAAGUAUCUCGACGAACAGCGUCAAUACAUCGGAGAGGAAAACGCUUGCUACCGGUUCCCGCAUCGACCAAGGUUCAGCUGGGUAGUAGUUUUGACUAACUGUUAACUGAUGAACUGGCUGGAUGGACGGACGAGUGACAGAGGAGUGUCAAAAGCGGGUGGCGAGGAAGUCGGCACCGUUGGUUUCAUCGCACUUCCAGUACAUGAGCCCAUUCUAUGGGCUGCCGAAUAAGAUAAGGGAUUUGCUGAGGAUGUUCCGUGGUAUAACGGAGAUGUAUGCCACUCCAACCUUGGCCUUCUUGGUACCGCGCAUCUUCAUACGGUUCCUGCUUUCCUUGCGCUGCUUUCGGUGAUCUUCUUCUCGAAUAGUCUGUGGUGGCCCAAUCGGCGCUUGGGUUCGAACUUCUUGGCAUGUACAGCACAAAGCUGGUCGACUUGCCACCGCCAAAGUUGGUUCGGAGUCA